rnacentral:tRNA from 1 species
GAGGGUACAGCUCAGUGAUUGAGUGUGUGCCUAGCAUGCACAAGGUCCUGGGUUCAAUCCCCAGUACCGCCA